AGCAGCCGCGGGAACACCGGCGGCCGAGUGGUGAUCGUGAUUAUUGGGUCUAAAGGGUCCGUAGCCGGUUUGGUCAGUCCUCCGGGAAAUCUGAUAGCUCAACGUAUUAGGCUUUCGGGGGAUACUGCCAGACUUGGAACCGGGAGAGGUAAGAGGUACUACAGGGGUAGGAGUGAAAUCUUGUAAUCCCUGUGGGACCACCUGUGGCGAAGGCGUCUUACCAGAACGGGUUCGACGGUGAGGGACGAAAGCUGGGGGCACGAACCGGAUUAGAUACCCGGGUAGUCCCAGCCGUAAACGGUGCUCGCUAGGUGUCAGGCAUGGCGCGACCGUGUCUGGUGCCGCAGGGAAGCCGUGAAGCGAGCCACCUGGGAAGUACGGCCGCAAGGCUGAAACUUAAAGGAAUUGGCGGGGGAGCACAACAACGGGUGGAGCCCUGCGGUUUAAUUGGACUCAACGCCGGACAACUCACCGGGGGCGACAGCAAUAUGUAGGCCAAGCUGAAGACUUUGCCUGAAUCGCUGAGAAGAGGUGCAUGG
rnacentral:rRNA from 1 species